GCCUCGAGUGGCGUAGUGGUUAGAAGCACGCGUCCCCGGACAGGAUGAAACGCGGGUUCGUUUCCCGACUGAGGCC